rnacentral:rRNA from 1 species
AUUGAACGCUGGCGGCAGGCCUAACACAUGCAAGUCGAACGGUAACAGGAAGAAGCUUGCUUCUUUGCUGACGAGUGGCGGACGGGUGAGUAAUGUCUGGGAAACUGCCUGAUGGAGGGGGAUAACUACUGGAAACGGUCGCUAAUACCGCAUAACGUCGCAAGCCCAAAGAGGGGGACCUUCGGGCCUCUUGCCAUCGGAUGUGCCCAGAUGGGAUUAGCUAGUAGGUGGGGUAACGGCUCACCUAGGCGACGAUCCCUAGCUGGUCUGAGAGGAUGACCAGCCACACUGGAACUGAGACACGGUCCAGACUCCUACGGGAGGCAGCAGUGGGGAAUAUUGCACAAUGGGCGCAAGCCUGAUGCAGCCAUGCCGCGUGUAUGAAGAAGGCCUUCGGGUUGUAAAGUACUGUCAGCGGGGAGGAAGGGAGUAAAGUUAAUACCUGUGCUCAUUGACGUUACCCGCAGAAGAAGCACCGGCUAACUCCGUG